rnacentral:rRNA from 1 species
CCGCACCACCUCCUCCACCGCCGGCAUCACCUCCUCCAUCGCCGAGCACGAGCCUUGUCUCUCUUCCACCUCCACCGCCGGUCACAACCCCUCACUCACUACUGGCCAAGACCCCCUUCCGCCCCCACGCUCCACCAGACCCUAGAACAUGACCCGGCCGCCGCUGGUCACCUUCGCCACUGCCCUUACUCUUCCUCUUCCGCCUCCACGACCGGUCACAAACCCACAUCCACUGCCGGCCACAGACUCCCUCCCCUCCACCUCCCCUCCACCAAACCCGAGAAACAAGCCGUUGUCGCCUCCAUACUGCGCCGCUUCAAGUGCCUCGCUGCCACCACACUUCGCUGCUCCAAGGGCAUCUCCGACACCUCGCUGGACAUCUGCACGACACACUAAUGGGGAAGAAGAUUGCAGCGAAGAAAUCCUGAGGACGCAAGACAGCAGAACCACCACCUGUACAUCAUAUGGAUGAUUUGCGCCUCAGAAGAAUCAUAAGGAACAAUUCAAGGCUGCAAGCACUCGGAAUUCCUGCAUUAUCAACAUUGUUUGCAGCCAAAACUGUCAUUUCACCUGGAAAAAAAGGCCCAGCAAUAGUACCGAUGAAUCUGAAGCUGAGUACCAUCCUAAUGAGGACGAUACCAGUGAAGGAGAGUCGUCCGAUGGUAGUUUAGUACAUGAGACAGAAGCAUUGCAAGAAUUUAAGUCCACACCUGCUGCUAGCUCAAACUCCAAGGCUUGAAGGACUGUAAAAAAACAAGUCAGGAAUCUAGUAAGAAAAGAUCUGCUGCCAUGCCCCCUGGUGGAGUCAAGCCUCGGCCCGCUAAGAGAGUUCUCGCGGACAUCCCAACUAAUAUGCGAGUUACAAGGUCGAGGAAAGUACAAUCACAAAAUGCUGAUGCAAGUGCUCAAAAUGAAGAGAUGUAUGAUCCUAAACAGCAGACACCAAGUGUCAUUCAUAAGCCAAUUUCUUCUAUGGCUUGUGCCAGCCAAGCUGAAGAAUUUGUUCCCAACUUUGAUGACCAUUUUGUUGAAGAUGAUGACCUUGCACAUUGUGAUGACGGCAACUGGAUGGCCAAUGGAGCUGAUCUCAUUGCCCAUUGUGAUGAUGACAACCAGAGGGACAACGAAGCUGGUGGUAGUACCCAACCUCAUCAGCAAUCUCAACCUGACAGUAACUUUGAAGGUCCACAAUCCUAUGAGGAGCCAAGGGAAAGGGGGGCCCAAUUUGGGGAAAGGUCUGGAAAGGAUCACUCGACGCCGGCAGGGCAAACUGCUGCUUCUCAUUCCAGAAGGAAGCUUACGGCCAGAGACACCUCUUCUGGCUGCAAAGUAUGCAAUCGAAUGCAAUGUCACAGUCAGACACCAUAUGCCCGUGUUUAAGCACUGGAAGGAUUACAAGGACCCAAAUGGAAAUGUCAGAGAUGGGAUCGUCAGGAACUUUGUAGGCAAAGUUGGUAACAUGUUUCAGAUGGCCCUAGAGGCGGUGCCAGUUAGGAAGGCUUGCACAGAAAUGCUGAAACACGCGACUCGCCAACAACGAUAUAGGCUCAAGAAAGAGUAUUUUGAUCCUCAUGCACCCCAUUUGGUGAGGAGAACUUCUCCGGUCCCCUCGAUGACUGAUGACCAGUGGAACGAGCUAGUGGAAAGCUGGAAGGAUCCCAAAAAGACGGGGAUAUCUCAAAUUAACAAAGCUAAUCGAGCUCAAGUUAAGUUCCACCAAACUACUGGAGCGCACAGCUACCCUGUGCACUGUGGAAAUCUGGGAGAAAAAUACAAGGAUGAAGAACCAACAGCAGUGGAUUUGUUCAAGGAGUGCCACUACAGCAAGAAAAAGAAAGGUUACACCAAUGUUGUGCUGGAUGCAAUUACCGAGAUGGAAAAGAAGGUUCCUAAUCCUACAGAAGAUGGUUAGGAAUCAAGCUCUGCAACUGAGGCGGCAACCGAAGCUGUAGCUGAAGUGCUUGCUAAGCACACUAAGAAGCCGAGGUUUCUUCAGCAUGUGGGGAUCCAGCACAUCCAUGCGAGAUCCAGUGCUAUCAACCGUGAACUAGAAUUGGCAGCGCAGAAGAUGAAUGUUGAGCUUCGGGCGUGUGUUGACACCUUGACCAAGAAGUUGAAGGAAUCUGAAGAAGAAAGGGCCAGGCAAGAUGAGGAGUACAGGAAGCGAGACGAGGAGAACAGGAAGAAGCAAGCUGAGAUGGAUGCAAAACUAGACUUAUUGCUAAGUCAGAUGCCAUCAAGAUCAGCUGAAGGGUAAGGUGUUUGUCCAAAAAGCUGCUGGAAGCUAUAUGAAUGUGGGAUAUGCUGGUGGAACCUAGCUUGUUAUUUUGUCAGCCUUUUGUUAUGCAAACUGCAUACUGUUCGAUGCAAACUAGUUGCAUGUUGGUGCUUGAUGGUUAGUGGAUCUUGAGAUGUAGGCUGAAUGCUAUGGUGGAUGUGUCAUGGAGGAG